CUACACAUGCAGUCGAACGGCAGCACAGUAAGAGCUUGCUCUUAUGGGUGGCGAGUGGCGGAUGGGUGAGGAAUACAUCGGAAUCUACCUUUUCGUGGGGGAUAACGUAGGGAAACUUACGCUAAUACCGCAUACGACCUUCGGGUGAAAGCAGGGGACCUUCGGGCCUUGCGCGGAUAGAUGAGCCGAUGUCGGAUUAGCUAGUUGGCGGGGUAAAGGCCCACCAAGGCGACGAUCCGUAGCUGGUCUGAGAGGAUGAUCAGCCACACUGGAACUGACACACGGCCCACACUCCUACGGGAGGCAGCAUUGGGGAAUAUUGGACAAUGGGCGCAAGCCUGAUCCAGCCAUACCGCGUGGGUGAAGAAGGCCUUCGGGUUGUAAAGCCCUUUUGUUGGGAAAGAAAAGCAAUCCAUUAAUACCCGGUUGUUCUGACGGUACCCAAAGAAUAAGCACCGGCUAACUUCGUGCCAGCAGCCGCGGUAAUACGAAGGGUGCAAGCGUUACUCGGAAUUACUGGGCGUAAAGCGUGCGUAGGUGGUUGUUUAAGUCUGUUGUGAAAGCCCUGGGCUCAACCUGGGAAUUGCAUUGGAUACUGGGCAACUAGAGUGUGGUAGAGGGUAGUGGAAUUCCCGGUGUAGCACUGAAAUGCGUAGAGAUCGGGAGGAACAUCCAUGGCGAACGCAGCUACCUGGACCAACACUGACACUGAGGCACGAAAGCGUGGGGAGCAAACAGGAUUAGAUACCCUGGUAGUCCACGCCCUAAACGAUGCGAACUGGAUGUUGGGUGCAAUUUGGCACGCAGUAUCGAAGCUAACGCGUUAAGUUCGCCGCCUGGGGAGUACGGUCGCAAGACUGAAACUCAAAGGAAUUGACGGGGGCCCGCACAAGCGGUGGAGUAUGUGGUUUAAUUCGAUGCAACGCGAACAACCUUACCUGGUCUUGACAUGUCGAGAACUUUCCAGAGAUGGCAUU
rnacentral:rRNA from 2 species